GAUGAACGCUGGCGGCGUGCCUAAUACAUGCGAGUCGAGCGAACAGACGAGGAGCUUGCUCCUCUGACGUUAGCGGCGGACGGGUGAGUAACACGUGGAUAACCUACCUAUAAGACUGGGAUAACUUCGGGAAACCGGAGCUAAUACCGGAUAAUAUAUUGAACCGCAUGGUUCAAUAGUGAAAGACGGUUUUGCUGUCACUUAUAGAUGGAUCCGCGCCGCAUUAGCUAGUUGGUAAGGUAACGGCUUACCAAGGCAACGAUGCGUAGCCGACCUGAGAGGGUGAUCGGCCACACUGGAACUGAGACACGGUCCAGACUCCUACGGGAGGCAGCAGUAGGGAAUCUUCCGCAAUGGGCGAAAGCCUGACGGAGCAACGCCGCGUGAGUGAUGAAGGUCUUCGGAUCGUAAAACUCUGUUAUUAGGGAAGAACAAAUGUGUAAGAAACUAUGCACGUCUUGACGGUACCUAAUCAGAAAGCCACGGCUAACUACGUG
rnacentral:rRNA from 1 species